CAAUAGCGUAUAUUAAAGUUGUUGCGGUUAAAAAGCUCGUAGUUGGAGUUCUGCCAGGUGACACUCGUCCGCCCAAGUGGUGUGUACAGGGUGUGCAUCUGGCCCUUUCAAGGGGAACGUGUCUGCACUUCAUUGUGUGGUGCGAGAUCCUUGACUUUUACUUUGAGGAAAUAAGAGUGUUCCAAGCAGGCUCUCGUCGUGCAUAGCUCAGCAUGGAAUAAUAGCAUUGGACUUCGUUUCUACGCUGUUGGUUGCAAGAAGCGAGGUAAUGAUGAAGAGGGAUAGUUGGGGGCAUUCGUAUUUAACUGUCAGAGGUGAAAUUCUUGGAUUUGUUGAAGACGGACUACUGCGAAAGCAUCUGCCAUGGAUGUUUUCAUUGA
rnacentral:rRNA from 1 species